AUUGAACGCUGGCGGCAUGCCUUACACAUGCAAGUCGAACGGUAACAGGUCUUCGGAUGCUGACGAGUGGCGAACGGGUGAGUAAUACAUCGGAACGUGCCUAGUAGUGGGGGAUAACUACUCGAAAGAGUGGCUAAUACCGCAUGAGAUCUACGGAUGAAGGCAGGGGAUCGCAAGACCUUGUGCUACUAGAGCGGCCGAUGGCAGAUUAGGUAGUUGGUGGGAUAAAAGCUUACCAAGCCGACGAUCUGUAGCUGGUCUGAGAGGACGAUCAGCCACAGUGGGACUGAGGAACGGCCCAGACUCCUACGGGAGGCAGCAGUGGGGAAUUUUGGACAAUGGGCGCAAGCCUGAUCCAGCAAUGCCGCGUGCAGGAUGAAGGCCUUCGGGUUGUAAACUGCUUUUGUACGGAACGAAAAGCCCCGGGUUAAUACCCUGGGGUCAUGACGGUACCGUAAGAAUAAGCACCGGCUAACUACGUGCCAGCCGCCGCGGUAA
rnacentral:rRNA from 1 species